UCCGCGGCGCAGGCGCAGUAGCGCGCAGCGGGCCCGGUCUCGCGGGGCGUGGUGGAAAGCACGGCCGGGCCCGAGGCCAGUCCCGGUCCGGGCCGCUAGGCAGGCGGGCGGCGGUCCCUGCAGUGCCGGUCCCGCGAGGGCCGCGCUGUGUUCCUCGGGAGCGGCCGGGCACCGGCCGAGCGCCGUUAAACAUCCGUUAAACCGCCGCCUGGGGGGGGGAGGGGCGGGGCGGGAAUAGGUGGGUGUGUUGCGCAUGCGCGGUCCCAUUGCGGCCUUCGCAGCCCGGGGCCGGCGCCUCGGGGCGGGAGCGCGGCCCGGAGCCCUGGGAGGAACCGGCGGGAAAGCCGGGAGGGGGGGUUCCRCGGUUCCCAGGCCUGUGCUGCCUCUGUGCACCCAGGUCUUCCCCUAACGGCCCCGCUGCGCCUUCCGAGCCACGUGGAGCAAAGGCUGUAGGUGCAGCAGGAAUCUUAAAAGGACGAAUGUCGACUGAAAGUAUAAAAGUCUUUUUCUUCAGGACAAGGCUCAGCUGUUUGUUCCUGAAGGAAUGGCUUCAAAUUUUGGAUCUGACCAGUGACUACUCUAAGAGACAGCAUGGUUCCCAAAGAAAGGAAGAUGCUGUGAGAUGUGCUGGGACACUGGCUCCACCAAAGGAUCAGGAACAAGAAAUAUAUAGGCCAUAUCUUCAGGAAUGA
rnacentral:lncRNA from 1 species